AUUGAACGCUGGCGGCAUGCCUUACACAUGCAAGUCGAACGGUAACAGGUCUUCGGAUGCUGACGAGUGGCGAACGGGUGAGUAAUACAUCGGAACGUGCCCGAUCGUGGGGGAUAACGGAGCGAAAGCUUUGCUAAUACCGCAUACGAUCUACGGAUGAAAGCAGGGGACCGCAAGGCCUUGCGCGGACGGAGCGGCCAAUGGCAGAUUAGGUAGUUGGUGGGAUAAAAGCUUACCAAGCCGACGAUCUGUAGCUGGUCUGAGAGGACGACCAGCCACACUGGGACUGAGACACGGCCCAGACUCCUACGGGAGGCAGCAGUGGGGAAUUUUGGACAAUGGGCGAAAGCCUGAUCCAGCCAUGCCGCGUGCAGGAUGAAGGCCUUCGGGUUGUAAACUGCUUUUGUACGGAACGAAAAGACUCUUUCUAAUAAAGAGGGUCCAUGACGGUACCGUAAGAAUAAGCACCGGCUAACUACGUG
rnacentral:rRNA from 1 species